rnacentral:rRNA from 1 species
CAGUAGCCGCGGUAAUACGGAGGGUGCAAGCGUUAAUCGGAAUUACUGGGCGUAAAGCGCACGCAGGCGGUUUGUUAAGUCAGAUGUGAAAUCCACGAGCUUAACUUGGGAACUGCAUUUGAAACUGGCAAGCUAGAGUCUUGUAGAGGGGGGUAGAAUUCCAGGUGUAGCGGUGAAAUGCGUAGAGAUCUGGAGGAAUACCGGUGGCGAAGGCGGCCCCCUGGACAAAGACUGACGCUCAGGUGCGAAAGCGUGGGGAGCAAACAGGAUUAGAUACCCCAGUAGUCCCUGUCUCUUAUAC